rnacentral:rRNA from 1 species
CCUACGGGAGGCAGCAGUGAGGAAUAUUUGUCAAUGGACGCGAGUCUGAACCAGCCAAGUAGCGUGAAGGAUGACUGCCCUAUGGGUUGUAAACUUCUUUUAUAUGGGAAUAAAGUGUUGCACGUGUGGCAUUUUGUAUGUACUAUAUGAAUAAGGAUCGGCUAACUCCGUUCCAGCAGCCGCGGUAAUACGGAGGAUCCGAGCGUUAUCCGGAUUUAUUGGGUUUAAAGGGAGCGUAGGUGGUUUGUUAAGUCAGUUGUGAAAGUUUGCGGCUCAACCGUAAAAUUGCAAGUGAUACUGGCAGUCUUGAGUACAGGAGAGGUAGGCGGAAUUCGUGGUGUAGCGGUGAAAUGCUUAGAUAUCACGAAGAACUCCGAUUGCGAAGGCAGCUCACUGGACUGCAACUGACACUGAGGCUCGAAAGUGUGGGUAUCAAACAGGAUUAGAUACCCUUGUAGUC